rnacentral:rRNA from 1 species
UCAAGAUAGUAAGGGCAUACGGUGGAUGCCUUGGCAUCAGGCGGCGAAGAAGGGCGUGGCAGGCUACGAAAAGCCACGGGGAGCUGCGAGCAAGCCUCGAUCCGUGGGUACCCGAAUGGGGCAACCCGGUUCCGGUAAUACGGGAUCAUCCCGGGCUGAACACAUAGGCCCGAGGAGGCGAACCCGGGGAAGUGAAACAUCUCAGUACCCGGAGGAGAAGAAAUCAACAGAGAUUCCCCAAGUAGCGGCGAGCGAACGGGGAAGAGCCCAAACCCAGCCUUCAAAUAACGGCUUAAAAAACCGUUCAAACCGUUCCAACGGCUGAAACGGCUGGAACCGUCUUUUAUUGGAACGGCUGGAACUUUUCUUUUUUUUAAGCUGUAAUUUGAAGGCUGGGGGUUGUAGGACCGCAAGAGUACCAAUGUCUAUCUAUAGCCAAAGGCGCCUGGAAAGGCACACCAUAGGGGGUGAGAGUCCCGUAGGCGAAAUAGGCAGAUUAGGGAAGCGGUAUCCUGAGUAGGACGGGACACGAGGAAUCCUGUUUGAAUCCGGGGGGACCACCCUCCAAGGCUAAAUACGACCUGAUGACCGAUAGCGCAUAGUACCGUGAGGGAAAGGUGAAAAGUACCCCUGUGAGGGGAGUGAAAUAGAACCUGAAACCGUAUGUCUACAAGAAGUGGGAGUCUGUUACUUUCGGGUAAUGGAUGACCGCGUGCCUUUUGAUUAAUGAGCCGGCGAGUUACCGGCAGUGGCAAGGCUAAGGCCUUCAGGGCUGGAGCCGCAGGGAAACCGAGUCUUAACAGGGCGAGGAGUCACUGUCGGUAGACCCGAAGCCAGGUGAUCUACCCAUGGUCAGGGUGAAGUCCCGGUAAAACGGGAUGGAGGCCCGAACCGUUGUAUGGUGCAAAAUGCUCGGAUGAACUGUGGGUAGGGGUGAAAGGCCAAUCAAACCUGGUGAUAGCUGGUUCUCCCCGAAAUGUAUUUAGGUACAGCCUCUGUGAUGAGUCUUGCGGGGGUAGGGCACUGGAUGGGAUAGGGCCCCGUAGGGGGUACCAAACCCAACCAAACCACGAAUACCGCAAGAUGCUCGCAGGGAGUGAGACUGCGGGUGCUAAGAUUCGUAGUCGAGAGGGAAACAGCCCAGACCGUCAGCUAAGGUCCCCAAGACAGUGCUAAGUGGUAAAGGAUGUGGUGCUGCUAAGACAGCCAGGAUGUUGGCUUAGAAGCAGCCAUCAUUUAAAGAAAGCGUAACAGCUCACUGGUCGAGUGGCACUGCGCCGAAAAUGUAGCGGGGCUCAAGCACUGCACCGAAGCUACGGAUGUCGAGAGGCAGAAUUCAGGAGUCAGGAGUCAGGAGUGGCGAGAUUAGAACGUUGUUCUUCUGGAUUCUGGAUUCUGCUUCUCGGCGUGGUAGGGGAGCACUCUGCAGGCCUGCGAAGGUGUACCGCGAGGUAUGCUGGAGGUGGCAGAGGAGAGUAUGCCGGCAUAAGUAGCGCAAAGGCUGAUGAGAAGUCAGCCCGCCGUAAGCCUAAGGUUUCCUGGGGAAGGCAAAUCCGCCCAGGGUAAGUCGGGACCUAAGGCGAGGCCGAAAGGCGUAGCCGAUGGACAAGAGGUUAAUAUUCCUCUACCACCUUAUGUCUGCUGAUCCGAGGGGUGACGCAGGAGGAUAGUCCGGGCCUGGAGAUGGUGCAGGUCCAAGCGUUUAGGCUGGCAGGGCAGGCAAAUCCGCCCUGCCGAUUAAAGCUGAGGCGUGACGGGGAGCUCGUAAAGGGCGAACUCGGGUGAUUCCACACUGACGAGAAAAACCUCGUUGGGGAGGGCAUAGGGUGCCCGUACCGCAAACCGACACAGGUAGGCGGGUAGAAGAUACCAAGGCGUUCGAGAGAACCCUCGCUAAGGAACUCGGCAAAAUAACCCCGUAACUUCGGGAGAAGGGGUCCCUGCGCAAGCAGGGCACAGUAAAGAGGCCCAGGCGACUGUUUACCAAAAACACAGGUGCCUGCUAACUCGAAAGAGGAUGUAUAGGCACUGACGCCUGCCCGGUGCCGGAAGGUUAAGGGGAGGUGUUAUUUCUUCGGAGAGAAGCACUGAACUGAAGCCCCGGUAAACGGCGGCCGUAACUAUAACGGUCCUAAGGUAGCGAAAUUCCUUGUCGGGUAAGUUCCGACCUGCACGAAUGGCGCAACGACCUGGGCACUGUCUCGGCGAGGGACUCGGCGAACUUAAGAGUACCGGUGAAGACGCCGGUUACCUGCAGCAAGACGGAAAGACCCCGUGCACCUUUACUGCAGCUUGGCAUUGGUUUUUGGUGUAACAUGUGCAGGAUAGGUGGGAGGC